GUAGUCUGCCAUACGCAGGAAGACCCGCUGAACUGAAGCAUCUCAUUAAGCGGAGGAAAAGAAACUAACUAGGAUUCCCUUAGUAAAGGCGAUCGAAAAGGGAACAGCCCAACGUCUUAAUCCCGCAAGGGAAAUGUAGUCGGUUCACCUAUUGCACUGGUCUAAGUCAGAUGGAAUGCUGCGCGAUUCAGAGUAAAAGCCUCGUAUGACCAACCGCAAGCUUACGAUGGACCGGGGAGAGUCGGAUACUUUGAGAGUAGUGUCUUAAGGGGGUGGUAUGUCCCAUCCAAGGCUAAAUAACGUGAGGAGACCGAUAGAUUACAAGUAGUGUGAACGAAAGAUGAAAAGAACUCUAAAACAGAGGGUGAAAAGUUCCUGAACUUGCUUAGGGUUAAGGCUAUUUAUAGUACCCGUC
rnacentral:ncRNA from 1 species